GAUCAUUCGGGAGCCAAAACAUACGAGUUCUGGGGCUUUGGGGAACCGAAGUACAACUGUACACUCAUGGGUGCCAUAUUGGUGGCCUCUGGUAUAAACAGGGUGCCUAAGUAUGAAACUUUAUGGAAUCAUCACAUCAUAGAAAUGUUGUUCUGAAAACCCAAGAUGAUGUUUUGGCAUCUCAACAGUGCCUCCCCUAGAUCCUUAGCUAUCUUAACAGGCACUCCCAAUUUGGAUACCCCCAUGUAAUGGUUCUAGGGGUUGCUCGUGCGUAAGCAGGUGCCUAUCUCCCUGGCUGGGUGCAAACACCUGGCUGGGCUGCCAAAGUGAACCUCUUCUGUCCGGACAGCCACUCACCCGUGGCUGACUCAAUCGCUGGCAGAAUCCGUGAGUGAGCGUUUCUUAAACUUCUUCCAGCAAAGAAGUUCUUUGACGCCUAGUCUCCGCCUAUCCUCUCUGUGCAAAAGCCUUCUGCGCAGGGAGGGUGUGGGCAACGGAGGACCCCUACUCUCCCCGCUGGUCCCAGGCAAGGAGUCAUGGGACUGCCUCGCCACUUCCCCCACCUGCCCCCCUUUUCCACUGGUGCUACGCUGAUUCUCUUCCCCAGAAGAUGGGCUGCUCCUCCCGAUCCCUGGACGCUCUCUGGAAUCCCUCUGGCUUUUGCGCUCCCCCUCCAGUACUGAUGGCAGUUCCCUGACACCCCAUUUGCAAGAUCACUAUUGAUUUCUUGAUAGAAGACAAGUGAAAUUUGGGGAAAUAAAUGAUGAAGAGACUUCCUCUUUUAAUAGGGCAAAGAUCUCAUUGAUUAAAAUCUCAGAGUGAAAUGGACAAGGAAUUUAGCCAUAUGACAGCUGAGAAAGCUGGGUGGUAAAUCAAAAGUGAAAACUGCCCCUGUUAGUUGACCCACAAAAAACAAUCUGGGGUAGAACAGCAAGUGAGAUCAAUGAGCUAUUUAGCCCUAUCAAACAGAAACACUAACUUGUAAAUGUAACCACCAAAAAGCUCAGGGGGAUUAUUCUGUGUUUCUCCCAGUCUCUGUGAUCGCAUGACUGACACUGUCAGAGGUCUCAAUGUUGUUCUUUUCUCCUUCUCUACCAAUUCCCCAGGUUAGGUAGAAGGGUCAAGUUGACGUGGAUCUGAUGGUAGAAUCGUAAUUUAGAUGCCUUCUCUGUGCUGGUAAAAACAGUGGCGUCUUUGUCCUAAAGGGAUUAUGUUAAAGUAAGUUGUGUGGCUUUUUAUAGAACAUACUGACCUGGCACAAUGUUUAGUUUUCAUAUACUGUAGUGCUUUUCAAAGCACACAAAAAGUUUUAUCCUAGCAGUCCUACAAAUACGCCAGUACUAAUAGCAUUACUGUAAUGCUCCAAUAUUAUCCACAUACAUUCACAACUGAGCUGAGAUUUAAAAUAUUACUUAUAUUGCCUGACCCCAGGCAGCACUGUAGGACUGUAGACUGGCCAGAAAAGGUCUGCACAAUGAGCUCGACCAUGUUGCUCGUCUGUACUCUAGAAAUCAAAAAUUAUAACAUAAAAUUUUGAUGGACCUCUUAAUCAUAUGUAAGAACCAAAGGACCAAUUCAGAAAAGCCGUAUGGCCAUGGCAUUCUUGGAUGGGAUCAUUUGAGGCUGCAAAUAUUUACCUUUCCGCUUCCCAAAGUACUCCACUCCAUAAACAAGUCCAUGCAAGGGAGAAGUGCUAUUAGCAAGGCCUUUAUCUGAUGUGCUAGUUUUCUACGUGAGCAUCAGAAGAAAGGAGAGGGACAAAAGUGAGAAGCAAUAGGCAUUUAACUAUAGGCUGGGAAGAAGGAAAAGCAGGAGAGAAUGGAGAGAUUCAGGGGGGUGGGGAAGGUUUAUUAAAAUGAAACUGUCAUGGUGGGUAUUGUGCGUUAUGUAUUUCUAAUGAAAAUUCUUGUUCUCAAUGUUGUUUUUUUCAUCCCCAUCCCUGUCCUCUGGGUUUGCCAACCUGCUAUCAAACUCAGGGCAAUGAAGCAGACUUGAAAAGUUCUGAAGUUCAAAUGCCGUAAGUGGGGUAUUAAAUAAUGGAAAAGAACUAGGCUCUUCACAAGGACAUGUACAGUUUUUUUAAAUAAAAAAAAAACCACGGCAGAAGCCACAAAAAUGGCAGCACAGUUUCUGCAGGGUGUCAGAAAAUGCAUUACUACUAAGUGGCACAGCUCCAAAUGAAAUCUGUAUGGGUCAGCUGCAGGUUAAGCUAACAAAAACAAUAAAAAAUUAAAGUUGAACCAUUACAAAGCCCAAGAGCACUCAGGAGACAGAGUGAUGGGUGGUUUCUCAUGCAGACGAAAGGAUCAAUCCCAGCUCCUCUCCCUGGAGCUGAUCUUUCAAACCGUGAAGUAAAGUGUAGCUGUAUUUUUCAAGAGGGAAUGAGAAGCUCCCACUGAGUGGCAUUUUGCCAAACCAUCUGACUUCAGAAUUGUCAGAGAUGCUGAAUUUCGCUAGUGAAAGAUCCCACCCACCCCACCGUAUGCUUUGGGGAUACAUGAUUUCUUUGCAUGACCUCCUGCAAGAAUCAUAUUUUCCUUGCCUCUUCACUGUUUGUUCCUGGGUGAAGUUCUUUUUUAUAUAAACCAGCCUUCUACUUUUGAUUACAUUAUUAAGAAUUUAAGCAGAUCUGAACAAAAAAAGAACUGCUUCUGAAGAAAGGAAGAUUGUCCCUCUCAAUAAAUCAGAAGAUGAAAUCAAACUUGAGUAUAAUACUUUUGGAAAUGUAUUGGGCCAGUCUUCACCAACAUGGUGCCCUCAAAAUGUUUUGAACUGCAAUCCCUAUCAGCCCUAACCCAUAUGUGUUGUCUGGGGCUAAUGGGAGUUGAAGUUCAAAACAACUGGAGGGCACUAGGUUUGCAAAGAUGCCAAUAGGCCAUUCAGAGCACAAGAAACUAUAAUAGCAGCUUUCAUGCUAGGAAAUCACUAAGCUUCUUAAGUGUUCAGAGAUGUCAGGGGUUAGGAAUGGAAGGCCCCAGGAACAUUUGGAGCAAUAUGCCUUUCCUCACUUUCCCCAAAGGAUGAUUUACCACAGGCUGAUAGCAUCACAGUGAAUAUGCAAGAUGAGGUAGAACCCUUACUUGGCUACAUACAGCUUACAAGCUUACAAUCGAAUAAACCAUGAGCAGAAUUAGUUUGAAAAGCCUUGUAGAGCUUCCGGAUAGAGAUGCUUGCAAAAUUGUUCCAAGUCACAAUUUCUCCUUGGAUUUUGGUAUUACAAAUUACCUGCAAGUGUUGCUAGCAAGGUGGCACAGAUGCAUUUUGCAAUCUGCUAUUCUGGUUUUGAUUUCCAGACUGAUGUGCUUAUGCUCCAGGCCCUUCUGUUUAUUCCUGUCGUUCACCCCUCUCCAGGUUAAAAUUGGCAGCAGUGCAUGUGUGCAUUGAUAAAACACAGCUCAAAAAAGUAAAGCGCUUUGGAAGGCAGUGGGGGAAACCCACACAGAACACAGUGAAACUAUGUAACAGAAACAGAACAAGUGCAGCUAUCAACAAAAUGUUUCCAAGGACUGUAGCAUAGUGGCAGAGCAGCUGUUUUGCAUGCAGAAGGUCAACUUCCUGCAUCUGAUGAAAACAGUAUAAAACCUACAUAAUAGUAUACCUGACAGUACUUGUACUCAUCUUUAAGUUAACAAGAAAAGGCCUCUGGACUAUAUUUAGUCCAAAUUUCUGCUAGAACUGAAAGACUGAUAGUAUCUGAGACCAGCAGAUAUAGGGUGGUAUAUAAAUUUAAUAAAUAAUAAUCAAAUAAUAAUAAUAAUAUCAAAGUAGCUAAGGGCUGGAGACAGAGUAGCAAACUGCUAGACUACACCCAGGGUACCCCCCCCCCCAGUUUUAGCAUGGGCUGAAUGUCUUAAAAUGAAAAGCUGUCUUUAAUUCUGCUCUUCAUAAAUGAGGACGGUCCAGUCAGUAACUGACCCUGCCUCUUCUGACUGCUUUGCACCAGUCCAAACGUGCAUGUCAGUGCCACAAUACAGGGAGCUGCAAAAAGCUGUAAAAAGCUGGUUGUGAUCUAGUAAGCUCCUUUCUUCUUAAUCAACCUUCGGUUCUUCAUAAAACCUUGUGGCUGUGAGUAAAAGCAGCAACAGGUAAGGAUGUCUGGGAACAACCAUAAUUGAUGGCCAAAAUCAAUAUUCUGUUUAGCAAGUUAACUGGUCAUGGAAUAACCUUGUCCCACUGGAGUACUAUGCAAUUCUCUGGGAAUGCACAUUCCUAACUAAUUAAACCUUAAGGAUAAACAAUGACUCUGGGCACAAACUAUUUCUCCUUCUCAUCUAAUGAGUAAUUGCAAUUGUAAUAUGGAUGUAUUAAAAUAUUAUAUAUUAAAAUAUCAGAAACAUAUCUAUUUUAGGAGAUUUUUCAUUAAGAAAUAUCCCUAAACCUAGUGCAAAACACAGUGAUGUAUUCCUCUCCCUGGCUUGUCAUAUGGUGGUCCACAUGUUGACCCAAGACACACUAGCUUGUCACCAGGAUUCCAAGAAGUCAUUUGUUACUGUGACACCCCUCAUUUAAGAUCAACAUGUACAUGUCUGCUGUUUCCACUGAGAUGAUUUGUUAAUGCUGCCAUUUUCUGACAUUGUGUCAAAUGUCCUCUACUGUAACACGUGCAUUCCUGGUGUCUGAUUUGCUUAUAUCCCCCCAAACCUUUUACCACUCUGUUUCCUCCUUGCACCAGUUUAGUGUUCAUUAUAAGGUCAGUAUAAUGUCAUAAUUCGGGCAAGUGUUUUAUUGGAGUUCCAUUUGGUAUGUUCAUGCAUCUAGCCUUAACACAAACCAUCAUAUAUUCCUGUAGAAGGUUGUUUGAAAUUGGUGGCUGGAGACAGAUAAUGCUGGUGUAAGCAUAGGAUUUGGGAUUCUUUUCCUGAAACUAACAUUAUGUGUUACUCUUUCUCCUUUAUAUUGUGUUUUCAAACUUAGCCAUUUAUACAUUUAAAAACUUGUAUCAGUCCUUUCACCCUAUUUUUUAAAAAAAGAUCUGUCUUGCUGCUUUGUUUUGUUUCACUCUGCUUUACAAUUUGCAGCAGAAUUAAUUAGAUACUUCAUUAUAAAUUAAAUAGGCAUAUACUUCCCUCUACUCAAAAUGGACUUAGCUUCUUUGUCACUGGUUGGCAACCUUCCUAAAGCAAUUCUUAAUAUGAAUACUGCUAAGUGGUUAAGAGAGCAUUGCAAACAAUGACUGAAGAAACAAGUCUCUUCGUUUAUUUAAAGAUCAAAAUGGGUUCCAACAGAAUAAAACAUGAACUUUUUUUUAAAAAAAACCACAUAUGAAAAAUACAACCCUUCACACACCACAUUUAAGCACAGUACAAUAAAAUCAGCAGCAGCAGCACCACCACCACCACCAAGCCUACUUAGCAGUUAUCGCUUUCCAGAAAAGUUUAGCUUUGCAGCUACUUAUAGAAAAGUAACAGAACAGAGCAGGUCUAGACCUCAUCAAACAAUUCUUUCAACCCCUUAGGACAAUUGUGAUUCUCCAAUUGUGGAGAAUCUCUGGCCCACAGGCUGAAUGCAGCUCCUGCCUCAAGACCUUUCUAUCCAGUCUUCAGAACUCUCCCAGAUCAUAUCCCAUCUCCCCAGGCCAGGUCCCUCAUCUGUCCUCCAUUCCCUCUUGGAGAACCUUGGAGAACCUCAGCUGUGAGAAAGCCUCUUGUCUGUGUGGAUGGAGUAAGUAUAGUAUUCUCACCCAACCUGGUGCCCUCCAGCUGUUUUUUUGGACUACAGAUCCCAAACAACUGGGUGGCAUCAGGUUGCAAAAGGAUGGUGUAUUUUAUUAUUUUAUUUAUUUACUUAGAAGCAUUUAUAAGUCACUUAAUACUUUUAAAAAAAAAUCUUCAAGUGCUGAACAACAAAUAGAACAAAGUUAGAACAAAAAUAUAGCAAUAAAACAGUAUAAAAGCAUAUAAAAGCAGGAACUCAGAGAAUUAAAAAUAAAAACAGGGUCCAAACUUAUGGGUCAGGGCAAAAAGAUCCAUCUUUACAAGACAUCUGAAGCAAUGCAUGGUUGCUGCUUCACAUAUGGCAGAGGGAAGGGAAAUCCAUUGUACAAGCAGAAAAGGCCCACCCAAUGAUAUUCUACAGAGUAGGGUACCACAAGGAGAAGUUCCCCAGAUGAUCUCAGUGAUCUUACAGGUCUAUUGCCAUUGUUGACUGCCAGUGCCUAGCCAAGAUUUGAAGCAGAGGACAUUGGGCAAACCUUAAAGCUAGAAUAAGGUACAUGGAUGUGAAGUGAUCUAGAAUAUGUUAACACAAAUAGCAUUCCUAGUUCCACCCCAGUUUUCAAAAGGGAUAAUAAAGUAUGUGUCAAGUACAAGAAAGGCUCAUUUUACCCAAUGCAGCAUCCUUCCCCAGGAAGCUCAUUACUACUGAAGCACCACCUCCUUUGAGCAGGACAAUGCAAACAUGAAUUCACCUUUCAAUCACAUCUCUAGGUUAAUGACACUGAGUAAUAGCACAUUAGCAAAGUGCCAUUCCAGACACUAGGCAGGCAUGCCAAAUAGAUAAUCUGACAAUCGUUUCAGAUUCAUUUUCCAUGAACAGAAACACUGUUAGGGCUUAUUAACUGGCACAUCUGCACACAGAGCAAUGUGGAGCACAGGGGCUCAAUUACAAGCAGUAAUCUCUCUCAUUAAUAUAAUUUAUAAGGAUAUUUGGCUUGUUCUACUGUUGUAAACCAUUUUUAAAAAAAUGCUCUCGCCCAACAAUAUUCUAGCUUAUAUGCACUAAUUGUACGGAGAGCCAAGUAAUAUGAAGCUGUAGCAAUUUUGGUUUUUUUAAAAAUCACCCCCCACACAGCCAUUAUGUACACUCCAAUGUUAAAAUGAGUAGGACCGGCUUUGUCACUGAAUAAAGGUUGGUUAGCUGCACUGAAUUUGUACUUAAUACUGGACUGACUUGUCGAAUGUACAUCUGCAGCUGACAUAAUCCUUGUGUGUUCUGGUGAUUGACAUUUUCCUUUGCCAAGUGCCAUAUUUGAAAAGAUCCCAUGUCCAACCUCCGGUAUCUCCAGGUAGCGAUGCAAAGACCAGGAGCAGCUGGUAGGGAGGGCUUGUCAUCACAGACUCAUCUUCCCAGCAGUGGCAUCAUUGCAGCUUACUGGGAUAGUAUGAGAGUACAACAGGGCAGUGAUCAGGUUGGGGUGAUUUAGGCACAUGGCAGGAGUGCCAGAUGGAUUCUGCCAGUACACCCACCCUACCCAAGACACAUCAAUACCCUGCCCCACCCCAUCACAUCACAGUAUCUGCCUGUGAUGCUGCUGCUAGGUGGCCAAAUCAGUAGUGGUGCCCUCCUGAUAGGUGCUCCUGCAGAACAAUCCUGUUUAAAAUUCAAGGGAACUGUUGGGCAUUAUCCUAAAUAAAACAACAACAACAAACAAACAACAACAACAACAUGACCAGGUUUGUGGUCAUGCUCUCUCUUUGCUAACCAUGAGCUGUAGAUAAGGUUUAAUUUCUCCAACAGCCCACACUUCCACACAAGGGCAGUAAACCAUAUUUUGCCUUUCUUUGAUGUGUGAACCGGACCAAUGAGGAUGCUGUGCAACUAACAGGGGAAGAAGCUUUUGAGAUAAGGAAAUGUAUGUGAAGGUUCCUUGGUAUUCUUUGCUUAAUAUUAUAUUGGGCAGAAGGAAGAAAGGAAAACCUGCAUUUAUCUGUUUGUUUUGUCAGGGAACUAGAACUUGCACAAUGCACAAGAUCAGUCCGGUUCAACUCCUCCGAUAGCACUGGGAUACAGCAACAUGUCACCGUUCCCUUGUAGCUAAGGUUAAAAAUAAAGCUGGGUUUAUUUAGUUUUAUUUGAUCUUAUUGUUUUUAAUCAUUACUGUAUUUACAGAAACAAGUCCUACAUUUUCAUGUCUUGUAUAGCAAGAUACAAUUGGGUUUGCUUGUCAAAUAAGGCUCAUAACAUUAGUCCUACUAUUCAGCUGCCCACCCUGGCAUCCGCUUGCGGAAUCCUUUGGUAAGAACAACUUCCCUGCCUAUUACACCCAAUCCCAUUUCAGUUCCUCUGGAAUUUAAAACUUUCCGCAGACAGAGAAAAAGUCACACAGAGUCUAUUUCUACUUCUCCUGAGCUAACUGUGCUAGUUGGUCCCUUUAGGUAGGCCUCAUUCAUGGCAUUGGCUACCUGUUGCGGCUUUUUCUGGGCAAUAGAGCACACUCUUCCAAGCCUCUGCUGGAAUCUUAAUAGUUUGUGCUGCCACUGCUUCAAUGCACCCAGCAGAGGUCUCUUCAUGGUGCUGCCAGCAGCUUGCAGCCUGAUUGAUCACUCAUGCUGUGCAGAGAAGUCAUACUGGUAAAUUUGUUGCACUCCAAAGAACAAGGCCAACAACUUCUCCCCUAAUCCUUUCCACUUCUGACUGUAUUAUUAUGAGCCACAGGACUGAUAGGUGUGCUUCCAUGCACCUUCUAUUGUGAAGGACUACAACUUAUUCCAGCUGUUCCACUGUACUAGAUCAGUGACAUUAAGCUUGCAUAAUUGCAGUGGCAUAAUUUUAGACCCUGACAGAAGCAAUAUGCCCCCAUCAUCUGCUGCUCUCUGUAUUUGGAGUCCUCUUGUGCUGUGGGGCUCUGGCCUUUGGAUCCAAGUUCCAGCUCUAGCUGCAUCAGAUAUAUAUUAUUCUAAAAAUAUAAUAUAUAAUGUUGUUUCCUCAGUGAAAUAAGACCUAAGGAGACAUAUUCAUGAAAAAUGUAAUGUCACCAUACAAAAUAUACAUAAAUUUUGCAGGUGGAUGGGUAGGAAUUGCUAGCAAGAGAAUUGAUUCCAACCUGCUGAUGCUUAUGGAUCUUUCCAAUGAAAAACCAUAUAGAUUUUGCAUCACACUGCAAUGGUUUUUUUUCAAUGCAGAAACUAUUCUGCAGAAGAAGUAUGUUAUCUUAAACCAGUAUCAUAUAUCAGUGUCAGCAGCUGGUGCAAAUUCUAUUGUUAAUUCCUCACCAAUUAAUCAAACAGCUACUAAUCCAAACAGAUUUCCCUUCAACCACCUGGAUUUUAUUAAUGUUUACAUUUUACAGACCAAUUCACAAUUAUGUAAACCACAGCCAUCCUUUGAAAUCCGUACCUAUCUGAAUAUGGAAAUGCAGUUCUCCAGCCAAGCAAUGUGUACAAAACUGCAUAUGCUGGGGUAAAGCAUCUAUUUUAAAAAUGCACAAACUAGUAAAAACAUACAAAAUGCAUUACAUUAUGGAAAAUAUGCAAAAUUGCUUACAAACAUAUCUAGAUUAGGGAAAACUUGCACUAAAAUUAUGAUAAAUUUUUAUGAGGACUUAAAAAAAAUGGAAACUGAUGGGGAGAUGUGGAAAACUAAAUUUUAAGAUUGGAAAAAUGAGAAACUGAGACCGAAAGAUUUGCCCAACCCUAGUUCCCUGUAAGGAUUGCUUCCACACACUUGUACUUAAUAUGAGGGGAAAGGGGAAAGGUAGCUACAUACUAUGAUACCAUCAUAGGAGGGACGCGAGUAGCGCUGUGGUCUAAACCACUGAGCCUAGGGCUUGCUGAUUGGAAGAUCGGCAGUUUGAAUCCCCGCAACGGGGUGAGCUCCCGUUGCUCGGUCCCUGCUUCUGCCACCUAGCAGUUCGAAAGCACAAAGUACAAGUAGAUAAAUAGGUACCACUUCGGCGGGAAGGUAAACUGCGUUUCUGUGCGCUGCGCUGGUUCACCAGAAGUCGCUUAGUAAUGGUGGCCACAUGACCCGGAAGCUGUCUGUGGACAAACGCCGGCUUCCUCGACCUAUAGAGCGAGAUGAGCACACAACCCCAGAGUCAUCCGCAACUGGACCUAACGGUCAGGGGUACCUUUACCUUUUACCAUCAUAGAUAGUUAAGACCCUCAGCUUGCUUAAAAACAAAACAAAAAAACCUUAUCAAAAUUUCCUCUGCUAAAAAGCCUCCCUGCAGCAUUUUCCAGAAAGCUACUUUAAUUAUUCCAAUUUUGAGUUUUUGCUUAGUAACUUCUCAAUGGUGUAUAUGAAUGUUUUCUGUAACUUACAUUCCUGAAGGAAAGCACAUGGUCAACCAUCUACAUGACAAGCCUUAAAAUAUCCUAGUUUUAACUACACAGUGGUGUGUGAGGAAUAAAAAUAUUACUGCAGUAUCUGGAUGACAAGAAAAUGUUGCUGCUGCUUCAAAGGGAAUGAUCUUGUGCAAAGGUGCUGUACUGGGAUUUGAGAAGCUCAGGCACAAUUCCUCAGUUUGCCAAGGAAUUCCCAUAUGACUCUGAGCAGGUCUAAGCAAUUUAUUGCAGCGGUUUCAGUGGCUGCAUUUUACAAACAUUUAUCUUAAGACUCAUGUUGCCAGAUAUGUACACCUGUCGUUUAAGAAAGUCAUGUUGUUUGGUCAUUCUUGACAGUAAAAUAGACACAGGUCUUAACAUUAAAAAUAUUGUACCAGUAGCAGUUUUCUGCACAAGAAUCACAUAGACCAAAUGCCAAACAACCAGCUCUUAAAUAAGAUCACAGACUUUCAGAUGCAUUUGCCAAAUAACAAUACAUGUAAUGAAUAGGCAUAUAAUAAAGUGUUCAUUAAAAACCCACUUGCCAAAAAUAAAUGGUCCUUUCUACAUUUGUUCAAUUGUUUUAUUUCUACAAUUUAUAUCCCAUCUUUCAGGCACUCCCUUCAUCUGGCUUACAACAGCCAAUGUUGAAAACAUAGCAAGCUAAGAGACAGCAGCAUAAAACUAGCUUAAAAUAUUUUGCCAGCCAUUCAGUAGCCAACCUUCCACCAAAUGCCAAGUGAAACAAGUAUGCCUUAACUCUUAGCACACUUAAACAAAAGUUGCCAGUACAAGAUACAACUUAGUUAUAAAUAUGUUCAGCCCAAUUCUGCCAGUAUCUCACCAGAACACAAUUAUCUUUUUUUCACCACUGCAAAUAGUUCUCUCUCUCUUUUACCAUACUCAGAUUAUUGCUUUGCAUUGUUGCCUUAUCUAGAAAGACUUGUUGUCUCCUGGCCCUGCCGUCACGCCUUCCUCAGCUACUGUGAGUAAACUAGGAUUAUAAAGCACACGCAAUCAAAACAUACUUAUAUACACAUGUGGAUAAAAGUAGAAAUAUCACUGGCAUUCUUCAACAGUGAGGUUUUCCAAGGCCCUCCUUGUGUGCUUUAAAGUUUUCACUGCCCCAUUGGGCUGAGAGUGCCUGCUUGUCUUGGAGCAGAGUUUGCUUAGAGAAUGUCUCAUGGCCAGGAUGAUUUCAUGCCUCAUUAGUCUUGCCCUGACGCAAAUCAUGGAAAGAAGUUUUGAGAGCCAACAAUUCAAAGCAUAUGUGGAGGCUGUUUGUGCUGUGGGUGGGUGGGGGGAAAUGAGUGAACUAAGCCAGACUGUGUGGUAAAUGUAUAUGGGUGUGUACGUGUGUGUGUGUGUGUGUGUGUGUGUGUGUGUGUGUUUAAAGAGAGGGAAAUAAUUGAGACAUGCUAUGUGUAUUCCUUGGGUCCUUAAAGUCUGAGCAGUCAUCUGAAGGAGCAGCAGCUGUUUACCUAAGGCAAGAGCAGUCAAGGUGGUACCUCUAGAUGUUGAUGAACUUCAACUCCCAUCAUCCCUGACAUUUGGCCAUGCUGGCUGGAGGUGAUGGGAGUUGGAGCCCACAAUAUCUGGAGUGCACCACCUUAGCUGCUUCUGACCUAGAACAGAGUCACCAUCAUUAUAUUGCUAUUGCUCCUGUUCUGAAAUAUGAGGUCUGUUUUCUGUACCAUCUUACCUACAACUUUUCUCUAAUAGUUGUUGAAUUAAUCAGAUGGUGUUUGAAGGUAUAUGUUGGUUGCCACCUUACAGUCAACACUAUACCUGCAUCCUUUUAAGGGAACAUCCCUUGAACUUCCCAAAACUGACAGUCUCCUUUAAAGAAUUACAGUGGUACCUCGGUUUGGGAUGCGGGUGGCAUUGUGGGUUAAACCACAGAGCCUAGGACUUGCCGAUCAGAAGGUUGGCGGUUCGAAUCCCUGUGACGGGGUGAGCUCCCGUGGCUCGGUCCCUGCUCCUGCCAACCUAGCAGUUCGAAAGCACGUCAAAGUGCAAGUAGAUAAAAAGGUACCGCUCUGGCGGAAAGGUAAACGGCGUUUCCGUGUGCUGCUCUGGUUCGCCAGAAGCGACUUAGUCAUGCUGGCCACAUGACCCAGAAGCUGUACGCCGGCUCCCUCGGCCAAUAAAGCGAGAUGAGCGCCGCAACCCCAGAGUCAGUCAUGACUGGACCUAAUGGUCAGGGGUUCCUUUACCUUUACCUUUUUACCUCGGUUUUCGAACUUAAUCCAUUCCGGAAGUCCGUUCUUAAACAAUUCUUAAACCGAGGCGCACUUUCCCUAAUGAGGCCUCCCGCUGCUGGUGCCCUUCCAUCAUUUGGUUUCCGUUCAUAGACGGAGGUAAAGUUCGCUAACCAGAACACCUAACUGGAAUACCUUUUGCGGAGUUCAUGAACUGAAUAGUUCGUAAACAGGGCUGUUUGUAAACCGAAGUACCACUGUACUCUAAACUCUUAUGUAACUUCCUUUCCCACCAAAAUGCCUCAGAGCAGCUGAUACGUGUAUUUCCAAUGAAGUGUGGCUAAGAAUCAGCCUUCCUUAGCUCUAACAUCAUGUGUCUUCAGACCAUUGCAUCAUGUGUCUUCAGACCAUUCUCAAGUCCACAGCCUGUACUGUCUGUGCCUAAACAACACAUAACACAUCUGAUCUCAUCACUUCCAGACAUGCCUUAGACCAGGGGUCAUCAACCUUUUUAUACCUACUGCCCACUAAUGCAUCUUUCCUUACCGCCCACCAGUGAUCAAUGGAAGGAGGAUUCAGAUUGUGCCGUAGAACCCCCUACUGCCCACCUAGAAUCCUGAAAUGCCCACUAUUGGGCUGUAGGGACCUGCCUUAGACAUAUACCCUACAAUAUCAGAAAUCCACUUUCUACAUGCUUAGGAGCAUGACAUUUCCCUGCAACCAUGGACCCCAUCCCACAAUCACGAAGCCUCUGGUCUUACAGGGAGCAGCACACUGUGCACAAUCAGCUAUAUACCAUUAAUGGAACACACAAGAGCAGUUUCAAAAGAAUUUUAUGGGACAGCCAUAGUUAACACAGAACAAAUAUGGUCAAAAGACAUAAGCAGUCAGUUGUAGGCCCGCCAGCUGUUCGCCAUCUUUCCGUCUCUCUUCAUCAGGACACCCCUUACUUUUUAAGGCCAUUUUAACAAAACCCAUAUAUUGUCCAUCUUUCAUUUUCAUUUGUAUGCAAAGCAGUGGCAAGCACUCGGAAGAACAAAAACAGCAAGAAGAGACUAAAUUCCUCAGGAACAAGUGCUACCCCCCCAUCACUAUUGUCUCAUGCCAGCAGACCUCAUCAUAAAACUGUAGUCAUGGUAUGGAUAUAUUGUUGUGUUAAGCAUCUGCUCAAAAGACUUUGUCUGACUGACACUCACUCAAGCCCUCAGCGACUUCUCUGCUACCACCCAGCACAGAGCAGCUGUAGAGCUCCUUCACCAUGCCUCAUACAAGAAUGGUCCAUUUUCAUAGGGCUACAAAGGAUUCUGCUGGCACACCAGUGGGGAGCAAAAGCAGUUCCCACAUGCCAACUGUUGCCAUCCCAGAGCAAACAACAGCCUUUUGCUUAUUCUCUUUCAUGACCUCCUAUGGAGAUUCGAAGUCCAGGCCUCUGCUCUGGUACACUAGGACAAUCAGUGGCAAGUAAUUUUGCCUGCAUUCAGGCGUAAUAAGUCAUCAGUCUUACAGUCUUUCAAACAUAAAAUAACUCACCCAGACCCUUUCCUCUCUUGUGUGUCCUUUGACCUCCUGUCGAGCAACCCCAAAAGAGGCAUUUAAUGCUUUUGUCAGACUAUUUUGUCUAGCAGCUAUCAGAAUCAAAUCAACAACUCCUUCCACUGUCUUUCCCUUUCCCUUUCCAGGUUGUUGUUUUUUUUGUCUCUUCAGACUUCAGUUCGUUUAGCACAAUGGGAGUUCCUAACUGAUUUAUAAAAGGCUUCAAAAGGCAGCUGCUCAACAGACACUGGAGCCAAAUCUUAAUUCUUAGAGAUUUGUCUUUUGCAGUCCUGGCUAUGGCAAUUUGGUAACAUUAUUCUGGAGGGGUAUGGAUGGGCACAGCAUUUCGAAAAGACACCAUGACAAAGUUUCCAAAAUAAUUAUUUUCUUUUCUUGAUUUGCAUGUAAUGUUCUUGCACUGCAACCAAGCUAAAUAUAGGAUUUCCCUUGCCUUAUGAAACUCAUCCAGAGUUUUACCUACUACAGCAAGUUAAUUAAUUACAUCUCCUUUGUUUCAGCUUUGUAUCAUGUUAUGCAUAGUCUGAUCCCCAAGCUUCACACCCCUACUCUUUUCCCUUAUGUACAUCUUGUAGGUCACAUUCAACCUGCCAUUGCCUUCCUGUAACAGAUAAAGAUUUCCCCUGUUUUCUUCCUAAACAGCUGGCCUAUGGUCAAGUCAGCAGCAUGAUCACUGUGGUCCAGAGGCCAGGCAUUAUCUAGCCAAUUUUUAAGUGGAUAUUACAAAAGUUGAACUGCACAACAGGAGGCUGAAUAAUGCAUGUGAGGAAAAGACAGAGAAAUCUAUAGAGGGGGUGUCAGCAAUGUCAACUUACACACUCCCUUCACUUUGUGCAGAUUGACCGUCUUUCCACACAAUUGCACAGUAAUGUCAGGCCACAACGAUGAAGCAUCUUCCUCAAAAGUACUAUGAGAGGAAGGACAGGGUUAAGAGGUGGUGCUGAUUGGACUUUUUUCAUGCUGGUUCACAGCAAUUGCCUCAAACUUUAAGUGAAUUUUUUCCAUUAAGCAGAGAAAAGAGAUCUAAGACAGCAGUUCAGCAUUUGCACCCAGUGGUUAAACCACAUGCUGAAGUGUUUUAAUCCUGCAAAGCAACAUUUUCUGGCUUUAUUUACAACUGAAGAACUUUUUAGAAAGCCACUUGAUCAAAAAACAAACAAUUCAAAAGAGAACAGCUUGCUUGACAUGCCCUUUCAAUGGAACUCUUUGCACAUGGAGUUCAAUGCUGACAGAUGAUGGGAGGAACAAGCUAAGCAAGAUCAAGCUACCUUAAACCAUUUCCUCAAGUUGACACAACAUUUCAGAGUGUUGUAGUAGUCUUAAAAUAAAUGCUGUUUAGAAUAUCUGUCACUUGUACUUCUCUCUCUCUCUUCUUAGCAGUACAGGCAUUUUAUGGUAUAGAAUUUAUACUGCAAUUUAAAUUCAAUGUGCUGUCUUAUUAGUGAAGUGCCUCUGAUGACAAUUCCCACAGAAAGAAGUAGAAAUUCAUUAACUGUCAGCCACUAACCCACAUUAGAGUUGCUCUGAAUAAAGAAUUUUCAUAAUUAAUUUAAUGAUUUCUAUUAAUGUUUAAAAGCUCUUUGAAAAAGCUGUGUACAUAAUACACAGACUCUCCCACACACUAUAUUCAGUUAACAUUAUUUAUGUCAAUGUGAGAUAUAUGUUUGUGUGUGCGCGUGAUUUGAAUAUUAAUGCAAUUUAUUAAACAUCUAUUCUAUCCCUUUUUUAAAAAAGAAUACUAAUCCACAUUAUUAUAAUUCAGAUCACUGUGUUUCAUGUAUUAAAAAGGCUCAGGAGGGCUUAAAAUGGGCCAGGGUACUUAACAUGUAAGUAUCAGUACAUUUCCUAAGCCCAUCAAAUGCCUAAUGUACCCUAUGUAGUAUCACAUUUAUCCUACAAGGUAUAGUUCUCCUGUGGCGCUUCAAUGCACAGAGGAGAGCUACAGCUGGCUCCUGAAUUUGGAGGAGAGCAAGUUAAGGGCAAACACAGCUUUGCACAGGAAAGGUCUAUGUUUGCCUUUGAUAUCUAUCGAUCUCUGCUGCUAAGAAGAGUUCAUACUACCUGCACAUUGCUAGAAGGACAGUUUAGUUAGUGCUUAGCAGCGAGACUCAAAUGUGCAGGGUUACCAAAGAUAUCAAGAGUCAAACAUUUUCCCUUCUGGCUAAUACAAAACCUGGGAAAUUUUGCUGGGUGCAUUCCUAUUUCCUUUAAUGCUUUAGUGUUUUGUCAUUGAUUUCCAGAUUUGGUCUAGCCAUAUUUUUCUUUGUUAUAGGGAAAUAAAGAAUUAACAAGGGAAAAUAGUGUAACACAAUACAACCCAAGUUGUAAUUCAUGCAGGUUUGCAUCCUUACCUUGAAAUACUGUAUUCUCCACUUUACACCAUCUUAGCUGCCGAACAAGCAAAGGUUGUUCCAUUGACGGCAGCAUAUCUAAACUCUCAGAUUUAAGUGGUCUGGAUUAACUAAUUGAGCUGCAAGCAGCAGCUGUGUCUCUCACUUGGUUCAUGUGCACCUAUUCACAUACAGUGAACUGGCCAAGAAUGAAACCAAUGAAAGGAUUCCUCCUUUUUCAUAUACUUCUUUCUACUGCUAAUGAGCUGAGUCAAAAGCAAAAGCAUGUGACAUCUUUAACAAACAGGGAUUACCAUUAGCCUCAUUCAAAUGCUGUAAUGGAAGCAUGUAAGGAAUGAGCAACAGCACCACACUGGCAAAUUCUGCUUGACCUACACAUGUUCAUAGCAGUAUCUAUAGAGAGAUGCCCAUGCAUCUCACUCCAUGCAGCUGAAAACUCUUCAAAUCACGUGGACCAAACAGCAUGAAGGGUUUUCUAUAGACUUCUAAUGAACGCAUACUGGCCAAAGGUGAAUCCUUUUCCCCACUAAGCAAACUUCAUUAGACCUUUCAAAGGGGCUUCUGUGCACCAUACAUGCAAAGCUCAUUUUCCUUCACCCCUCUCCACCAAAUAAAAAAUAAAAUAAAAUCCUGAGAACUGUAGUGUGGUAAAGGUACUGUGAAUUGUAGAUUCAUCAGUAGUAAACUGCAGUUCCCAGGAUUCUUGGAGGGGGAAUGUGCUUCAAAUGUGUUUUAAAUGUAUGGCGUCUACACAACCUGUAUAAGAAAAAGUACAUAAAUCACAGUUGAAGCACAGCAGCAUAAAUUAUCCAGCUAUUCUUCCUCUAUUCAUAGAUAUCAAAAGUGAGGCUCCAGGUGUUGUUUGAUUCCAGCUCCUAUUAAUCCCACCCAGCAUGGUUAGUGAUCAGGGAUAAUGGGAGUUGUAGUCUAACAAUACUUGGAGGGCCACAAGUUCCCCAUUCCUGUAUUAACAAAAUUGCUGCUUUUUCUUCUUCUACCAAAAACACCCUCAAAGGGAUGUAGUUCCAAUAGUUGCACCCUCAGAUUCUACACUCUGCAAGCCUCAGUUCUUGAGAGCGAUUUAUUUAAUGUAGCAUCUAUUUUGACCCAAGUGAUUUUUUCUGCACAAAGGAACCAUGUACAGUGGUGCCUCGCAAGACGAAAUUAAUCCGUUCCGCGAGUCUCUUCGUCUAGCGGUUUUUUCGUCUUGUGAAGCAACCCUAUUAGCGGUUUAGCGGAUUAGCGCUAUUAGCGGUUUAGCGGCUAUUAAAGGCUUAGCGGCUUAGUGGCUAAAAGGCUAUUAGCGGCUUAGCGGCUUAGAAAAAAGGGGGGGGAAGCGAAAAAAAUCGCAAGACUCACAAGACUUUUUCGUUUUGCGAAGCAAGCCCAUAGGGAAAUUUGUCUUGCGAAGCGCAUCGAAAAACGGAAAACCCUUUUGUCUAGCGGGUUUUUCGUCUUGCGAGGCAUUCGUCUUGUGGGGCACCACUGUAUAUGAAUUCUUAGCAAGUGCUUAUAAAGGGCAAAGGAGACAUAGUUAAAGACACACCACUUUACCCUUGCCUUUGACACCUGAGAUAUAUAUUAUAGGGCACACCCUAUUCCCUUGGCUGCAAUUUGUUUCAACUCAUUUUAAUAUUUUAUUUUUAAAUUGUUUUAACUUAUAGGUAAGAGAAGAAAUUGCAUUAUAUUACAACAUCCUCAUCCUCAUGGGUGGGAUAAGAGUACACAGAUAACAGGGAAUAUUGUGAAUACUGGAGGCACUUGAAAGAAAAUUAGGCACUCCAGUGAAUUGCUGUGUUUUAUUUCAAUGGAUCAUACUUGAAUCCAACUUCGUCCUACUUCAGGCAGUAGUUCCUAUGGAAACUGUUUAUGCCUGGUUUGAUCCAGUGAUGUAUACACAGGAACUGUAUGGGACAGAUGCAAUUAUGUGGUGACUUCCCAAACCACCAUUGCUUUUGCCUUCCUCUGGCAUACCAAUGAUUAUAAUGGGAUUAAAUUUCCAAAUAAAGAAUAAUGAAAUAUCUAUACUUUACUGUAUAAAGUUGUAGACCUCAAACCACUAACUUCAUAGAUGUUCUGCUCAAUGAGAUGACUACAACAAGGCAAUUCUACAGUAAGUAGAUUAUUAAUUUUUGUCUAGCAUACAAAACACAGUCAGACUUUAAAAGGCUCACAAAAAAGGGUAUCCUGUAUGUUCAGUGGUUCUAAAUCCUCUAAAUGCAAAGUAAGCAUGUCAAAGCAAUACUUUACUCAGCCUUUUUUAAAAAAACAACAACAAAAAACCCAAACCAAACCUUGCAAACAUUUAUUUAGUUGAUUUAUUAUAUUAAAGCUGGCUCCAAACAGACUGUUUAAUGGUGAAAAGCAUGAUAAAACUGAAAUGCAAGCAGUAGUGUUUUCAACAACUGGAAAAGUUCCUAAACAAGGCUCACUUUUUAUAAACCUAAUGGUAGUCUGUCUUGAACACACUUAUAAUGUUAUUUAGUAGGGAGAGAGUUGAGGUAUAAAGGCCUUCUGCUGGCUAGAAAUCAAAGAAUAAUAGCUUCCCCCUUCUGUAAUAAAUCUUGAAUACACUUGGGUUGAUUUUUAUUCCUGUCCAUAUAUUGCACAUAAAAUAUAUGUAGGCUUUAUUUAUUCUAGACAACAGCUAGUGAGAUAAGAGAGCAUUCAGAAAUUUUAUUUAAUUUUUUAUUACACCCCAUUUCAAAGACUCAGGGCCAGUUAUAGUAACUUAAAAAUACAAGGUAUAGAAAUAAACUUUCGAAGUACUCCAUAUGCACAUAAAAGCAGGCAAAUAUCAACUGGAGCAAAUUCCUCCCAACUGACCCCAUUUAGCUUGGUGAAUCUUAACACAGUGAUGAAAUUCAUGCAUUGAAUGUGUAUGUGUUUCAGGAACUGAUCCAUGCCACCUUCUUUUAAAAUAACUCAGGAAAUAAGAAUAGAGACAUAGAGUCAAAGAGUCCUAGAACUGUAAAGUUGGAAGGGACCCAGGGAGUCAUCUAGUCCAACCCCCUGAAAUGCAGGAAUCUCAACCAAAGUAUCCAGGACACAUGGCCAUCCAACCUUUGCUUUAAAACCUCCAAAGAAGGACAGUCUACCACCUUCUGAAUGAGUAUGUACCACUCUCAAAAAGCUUUGCAUCAGUGCUGCUCCACCCUGUAAUAUCUCCAAAGGCUGCUUCACCUGCAAAACAGGUUUCUGUUUUUCUGCGUAUGCUUCCCCCCCCUUUACAAUUCUGGUGGUGCAGAGCGGAGCUUAUCUUAUUGUUGCAAGAUGGCAGAGAGCAUUCUCUGUGUCCUUCUUUCUAUUAAACAAUUUCACAAGCGCUUUGCAACCCUUCUAGCUGCUGGUGCUUCCUGAUCUCAAAAUCCCCAUGGAAAGAAUUGCCACAUGACACGCUCCCCUGUGCUUUUAAGAAGCCAGGAAGGCUAGCUACUGAGUACAGACAUAUUCUGUUUUUAAGGGAAGUCCUUUUUUAAAAAAUAACUUUCUGCAGCAAUUCAUUUGUAAGUAAAAAUAAUUCAACUAAAAACAAAAAUGAAAAGCUGUGCAACACACUGCAGACAAUCUCCCCAGCUUCACACUCUCAGAAGAAAUUUUCAGCACAGAAUUAUUUUGUGCUGACAGAUAAAAGAUUGACUAACACACACACAAAAAUGUUACCAUGACCUUCGGCAACUUGAGGAGAUGGAUCACUGUCCUAGCCUGUACCAUGUGAGUCUGUGGGCACUGGAGUCAACCUCCCCAAGGGUACAACUCUACUGCCAGAUUCAGUAGUGGUGGCACAAGAUAGUCCUAAAGAGAGACCUCAAUAUCUGGGGCACACUGCUCCAAGACAUUUGUUGUUGUUGGCAUCCGUCUUGUGAGACAAUGGAGUGCACCUCCAGGGGUGAAGUCAGCACCGAAGUGACCUUCCCCGGGGCACAGACCCUGGGCAGUGUGUGUGGAGGUCCUGGGCUGCCCAGACAACAAGACCUCCCUCUUGGCCUCACUGAUGUGGUCCAAAGGAAAGGAAAGCAAUAUGUAUGGCACCAGCUGGGCUGCAGGAGUUGCCAGAAGGAGGCGUACAAGGCACCAUCCAACCAUCUUAGGGACUCAACUCUGGAUUUGUGUGGAGUUUACAGCUUAGCCUUUUCUUCUCCCAAAGAUAUCCUGGAAAGCAGUGGAUGUUUAGGAUGAGAGAUUUCCUUCUCUUAGUUAGGCUACAAUUGAGACAAAUUGGAUCUUUGGCCUUCAUGUCAGGUACCCUAUCCAUGGUCCUGAAUACCUUGAUUUCUUUUCAAGGUGCUGACUCUCGCCUUUCCUUGCCAUCCAUCCCACCUGGGAAUCUCCUCAGUGGUGAGCUUCCCCACAGAUCAGAACAAAAACAAAUGUAGAGAGAACACCGUUACAUCUAAAAUGCCCAAGCUAACAGAGGGGUCUUAACCUGGCAUCAAGAGGAUGGUAAUGCAAUUGCCUAAUGAGUCAUCAGGGUCUUAUUAUUUAGUUAUUUAAAUUAUUGGGAAGGCCUUCCAGUGUCAAGAUGCCACCACAGAAAAUUAACCUGUUUUGAAUCUCUAAUGUGCAGCUAAUGUGCAGAUUGGAGUCUAUUAUCCACUGGCAUUUACCCUUCCCAGGUGUCCCAAUGAAGUUAUUGUCUCAAAAGACCUAUCAAAAUAUCUUCAGAGAUGUACAUUCAGAGAAAAUCUGUUUAGAAACAUAGAUAUAUAAUAGAUUUAAAUGGACAUUCAAUACAUUUUUUUACAUGACAUUUAAAAAAUUGCAGAACUGAAUGUAACAGAUUUCUGGGUGGAUGCAUAUGAAUGCGACAUGUAUCAGAAAUAGACAGACCCACCAUUCCUAAUCUUAUCUAAGCACUGGUCUGUAGUUGCAGAUACAGAAAAAUACCAAACAAGAUUUAUAGAUUUGCAGACGGAAGGGGUGGGGAAAGGGAUACUAGUAUCUUUUAUUCAGAACCUGACCAGAAAAUAACAGUGAUUUACUGUAACUCAGAUAUCCUAUAUUUCUCAAUUCCCAAUAAACAUACUCUGUCCAUAUUUUAAAAGCAUGGAUUUUAGUGAGGACUGCAAAACACAUUUCUGCAUGCAAUUCUCUGCAGGACAGCCAUUUACAAGCCACAAAUCAUUAGGUAUAUCUCCUGUGCAAGCCCUAGUGAGUGUAGAUACGCUGUUGCAGAAAUUCGAUUUAUUGAAAUGAGGAUUGGUCAGGAUCUGUUCUUGGUGGAUUAUGCCCAUACAUGUAGGCGAAAGCUGUGAGCUAUCACUAUUUCAGUUGUUUGCACUUUGUACUUUUAUGCUAUGCUGUUAUGAAAGGUUUUGCAAGCUAGGAAAAUUUAGCUAUUUUCCUUCUGGAUUUUAAGAGACCACCACAAACAGAUUGUUGUGUAUUUGUUGCUUCCAGUUGGUUCAACUCAUCCAUCCAUCCUGAAAAUAAAUAAAAAUAAUAAUAUAUUGCUGGACUAUUACUCGCAUCAAACUUGACCAAUAGCCAUAUUGGAGUCCAACAACAUCUGGAGGGCCACACAUUCCCUCCAUUGGCCAUUGAAAACCUUGCUGCUAUUUUAUAUUAUUUCGAUUGGUGUGAUUUAUGUAUCACAAUUGAAUUACAUAUUAAUACAAAAGAAAUAUACACUUGUUGUUCACCUCUUUGGGGCUUUGAGGCUAAAAAGUAACAAAGAAAUCAUACUAUUUCUCAUCCCUGUUUCAGUGCUCUCGGGGUAGCUAUGUAAAUGUAGGGUACUACUAGAUUGCCAUGGUUACUUAUGAAGUCUAACUUAGCAAAUAAGAUGAGGAGUGUUGUUGGCUAAUUACUGCAUCACGUUUUUGCUCCAGAAUUGCAACUUACUGGUCACUGCAAUGGUUAGAACCUGUUGGGAUCAGUGAUCUGGAAAUGUUGAAAGUGAAAAGGUGCAUAGUACCUGGAUGGAAUUCUACUGGAAAAUCUAUGCAAGAAGCUUUCAGCUUUUGAAAGCCUAAUGUAAAUAUUAAAUGCAUCAUGCUCUUAAAGGACCCAGAGCUCUUUAACUUUACUAUGAAGCUUUCAUUCAAUCAAUACAGACGCACCUAAAGAAUAAAACUAACACCGUUCCAUGAAAUAACUGCCACUCAUGAAAGGAAUUUGAUUCUUUGAGAUAAGCAUCAAUAGGAGGGAACCUAGGAAACUAAUUGGGCAUGGUGUAAAUCAGAAAUAAGAUUCCUGUAGAUCGGGAUGGUGAACCUUGGCACUCGAUAUCUGACUCUUGAGUGUCUCCCCAGGCAAUGCCACUCCACUGGCCCUCUUCAACACCCUCAAGCAUUUUACCAGCCUAGAAUUUAUCCUUGAACUAUGGUAUCUCUUGCUUGUUCUGAAUGGGUGUAUGUUUAGAAAGAAACUUCUGAUUUUGGAAUGUAUAAAGGAGGCACAGCCAUUGCCUCCCCACUUUUUCUCUCUAACACUUUUCACCCCAGCAUUGGCUGCCACUAGCAUCUAACCCUCUGGAUGGUUGAAAAUGAGGGAUUGUGGCCAUCAGACUGGACUAAAGAUUUGCCAUAUUGGUUGUAGAUUGUGGUUAACAGGUACAGUGUCACACACCCUCUUUUGUUAUCUGAAACAUUGGAAGGCCAUUGACUAGAGUUUGCCUUGCAAACGUAUUUCAGCUCCUUUAAAGUAUACUGUUUGUUUUGGUUAUUCUUUCUUUCUUUUGCUUCAGUGGUAUGUAUCAAAACAUGCUGAAAUAACCUUAGAUAUUGCUUAUGUGGUGCUUCAUCUACCUCCUGUAGUUUUCUGCUUUUAAAAGCAGAGUUAGUGUAAUUUCUCUGAGUACAUUUUAGGAACAGCAAACGUUUUUGGAAGAAGAAAAAAAAGCCAGCCAAACAUAGAACAAAAUUAGGCAUUUAAACCACUAACAUUGGAAAGAAUUACACUAAGUCAACUGGUUUCUGUAACCAGACAUGCAACAUGAGAGGCAUUUUCUCCCUCCAGAUACUGGCUCCAACUUCAACAAGGCUAACAGAAUGGUACUCUUUAGAAAACGUCAGCCUUUUGUUUAUCUAGGAACUGUGUGCAAUUGCAAAAACAGCAACUUGAGAGGAGCAAUCACCCUUGCUUAAUGGGCCAAAUGGGUUGGACCACGAAAUAGGUGCUUUGGUAGUUCCAGUAUUCAAGGAAUUUCCUAUCGUAAGUAUCAGGAAACACACAAGGCAUGAAGACAGAGACAGAAAUGACUGUAUCCAUUCAUUUACUGUAGAACGGGUAAGCUGGUAAAAGGAGAGCCAAGCAGGGAUACAAUUCAGAAACUUAACCACAAAGCAAACAUUACACAUGUACUGCUGCUGCAGAAUAAGAACAAAAUGCUGGGGGAGGGAGGCAAGUCUUGCUUAAAAAAAUUUUUUUUUAGCAGAAAAUGGUUAGAAAGGAUCGCUCAUGAUUUUGAUUAACCUUUGGGCUUUUUAAACUGUUUUGCUCCCAAUUCUGCUGCUUAAGCUGCUACAUGUAGUUGAGCUGGCCUGUUCUGUGCUGAUGGUAGCUUGAGCAAAUGCUGUCACAAAAGGAGAUGAUGCUCAAGAGUGCUUUGGGUUAAAAUUAACACAGGCAAAGCUCAGCAGAAAGCACGGUAUUCAAAUAGCCAUAGCACCCUACAUUAGUAGGCCUUGAAUUAUUAACAUGGCUUUGUUUUUUCAUGAUUAAUUAUUAAAAGUUGAAUGCUUGUCAACAUAUUCAUCACAGUACCAAGAGAUUAGUGUUGUCUCAUGCACUGUAUUAUCCGCGUUCUAAGCACUGACCUUUGAGUCAUAUUUCAUGUCUCAAAUGGUUUCCAGUUUUGGCAUGUCUUACUUAAUAGGAAGCAAGAAACAAGCAGUGAUUUUUAUAAGCCACUGAUGCAUUUAACAGAUUGUGCCAAAUUCUGCCUCUGUGAAUAUACUAAAGGGCUCAUAAAACAAAGAUAAAAUCAGAAAUAAGGUGUGGGCUUGUGCCAUUGAAUAGACAUAUAUUGUAUCUGGCAGUGUAGACAUAGUUGUGCAGGAAUACAGUGUGCAUCCAGUUCAGAAACCCAGGUUUCAUUUACCAGUACAGUGCUUCCAAAAUCAGUCCGUGGCAACCUGGUAAAUUUAGACUGAGUUUUGAGUUGGGCACAUCCCAAAGAAAGUCAAGAACUAAAUAACAAUACUGAAACUUUGAAAUUUGGUAGAGGUACUGCUACAUCCAUUAUGAAGUAAGCCCAACUGCCUCCCAAAAUUUGGGUCCAGCAUGUGGUGGUCCCUCCCCUUUCCCUCAGCUGCCUCCUUCCUUGGUGCACCCCCCUUGCUGUGCCAAACUCAGAUAGCCUUGGCUAAAAAGAACCAUUUAAAAAAACACACACUAAAGUCACAUUGCUCUCUAAGCAUUUUGAAACAUUCAGUGUCAUUGUGCUCCUAAUGGUAAAGGUAAAGGACCCAUGGAUGGUUAAGUCCAGUCAAAGGUGACUAUGGGGUUGUGGUGCUCAUCUCGCUUUCAGGCAGAGGGAGCCAGUGUUUGUCCACAGACAGCUUUCCGGGUCAUGUGGCCAGCAUGACCAAACCACUUCUGGCGCAACAGAACACUGUGGUGGAAACCAGAGUGCAUGGAAAUGCUGUUUACUGGUGUGAGAUGUUGGCACAGUGGGGCAUUCAAUGACAGCCCAAGCCCUCUGGGAUAGGACCAUGAACCAGGUCUUCUUCUCUGACCAUACUGUGAAGGAUUCAUACGCUAGCUACAGCAAAAACUGAGCUUUUAAGCUGCUACUACUGCAAAAGUCUGCCUUACACUUCACCCUUUGUGCAAGGAGUCCACCUCACCUUUCAUAAGGCUUCAUUACUGUCGAAAGUCUGCUUCAGUGGGUGCUGAGAACCUUGCCAUACCUUGUGCCAGCCUUCCAAGCAUUAUUGUGAGUCCAACAGAGCCUAAAUGCAUGCAUCCCAAAUCUCUCAUACAAGGUCUUAACCCCCUUCAAACCAAAAUCCCACAAUUUCUUUCCUAUCCUCAAAAUAUAUGCUUGCAAUAAUAAGGGCAUCUUACUAUGAGAGAGCUGAUGCCAGAGCCUACAGUAUACCCAAGACUGGCAAUAUACCAGCUCAAGAACCAGGACCCCUCGUAAAUUUGAUUUCCCACGGCUCCUGAGCUUUGGGAAAUGUAAGGAGGCAGAAAGGGGUGGUAAGUUGACGUGUUUUGCAGGUCUCACAGGGCAGGGUUGGGAUAAGAUGCUUAUGUCCUGUUGAUGUCAUUGGGGUAAGAUGGGACCUGAACUUUAGAGCCAGCUUGAAGAAUGUUCAUGUGUUUAUUUACAUUGAUCUCUCUUGCUCGGGUAAAAGUUGACAUGCUGUCACAUGAUAUCAUAACAUAGUGUAAUGCCAUCAUGCUUAGGAUAUAAUUCUCUAAUCAGCUGUAUCACACAGGUGACAGAUGCAGGAAUCACUGCCCUCAUUUUCAACUGACUUCAUUUGCCAUCAUCACAUAAUCAAAUAUAAUUGGCUAUAUAGAAAUGCUAUAACAUCAUCUACAAUAUCUGUAAAGGGAUGGGAUCACCUGUAUGUCUGUUCCAGGAAAGAUUUUUAAAUGCAGUAGAAUAGAAUAAAAAAUGGCAUUGAAACAACAGCUACAGAAAACAGUGGAAGUAGAUAAGACAAAAAGGGUUUUAAAAAUACCAAAACACUUUUUAAACAAGGAAAGAAUUAUUUUGGUUUGAAAAUUGAAACUGAAAAAUAACUGGUACACCCCUAAUUAUAAUCAUACCAGUAGAAGCAAAAUACAAAAUGUCAUUAUGCAUUUGACCCAGUAAGGAAAAAAAAAAAAAGAGUAAACAAGUAAAUAACUUAUCAGUAGCAUAAUCGGACCUGCUCAUGUUUUAGGGAUCUCAACAUAGUUCCCAGACACCACUUUGUUUUACCUGCCAAGAGUUCUGCACAGAAUUAAUCCAUUAACUCUAAUUUAAAGUAUGCAAAUCAAUGUCAUUUAGACCUGCCGGUCAGCUCUGGUUCUCAUAAACAAUUUCCAGUCUAACGACAUCUAUAUUGUCUUCUACCUUCAUUUUCAUUUCAUCUCCAGUCUUCUUUGAAACAUUUGAUUUGGCAUUUGCAAAGAAAUAACUCACGGCAGGAGCCACAUUUCAAUAUGAUAAAACAAAUUAUGUACUCAACAUUCACUAGGAAACUUUAUCAAGUAUCCAGGAGUCUGUGACCUGCAUUUAUCUUCAAAUGUUCUAAAAACAGCGAUGGCACCUAGACAGCAUGAAAGCAACUAAAUUAAAACAUUAAUUCCCUCCAGUUUGCCCCAUGUUCCCUUUACAUUAAUAAAAGGACAGCACAGGAUUGAACAGAUUUAUAUCCGAGCACACAACAUUUCAAUUUGCCUUCUAAUUUCUUCAUGGUGAAGAGGCAAAAAACAAUUACCUACCAUUUUCUUUCCCCCACAAUACCAUAAUGAAGUGCUGCACUACACUUCAUAACCAAGGAGCAAAGACUACUCUAAUGAACACGCACACACACACACACACACACACCAGUCAUGGCUGAUAUAAAUUUAUUCUACAUGUCAACAGCAGAAGAAGGCUGGAAGGCACCCAGGGUCCUUUCUCCAUGAGCUGCACAAAUCCUCUUAUGUGGCAUCACUUUGGAAGUUCCAACACAGCACAACCAACAACUUAUGUUUCACUGGUAUUGGGGGUUGAGCCACAACCCUGGCUGCCACAAGGAGGAAAGUUUCUCCGAAUAACAAGACUCUUAAGUAGCACCAUGAGACACAGCAGUUCACAACGACAGGCUGUAGGCCAGAAGCAAAAUAUAUUUUAUAUUCCUUGAGUCCCCCUAUUCUCCAAGAGUACUGGUCUUGGCAAAGGUGAGAAGGUGCAUGCAUUUUGUAGAAAAGCAUUUGGCCUUGAUGGUGGCAGUAUACCGAGUACAAACAUACCUUUAUUCAUGAGCCCAAAGUGCUGUGAUGUCAUUCUGGUGUGAUGCCUGAUUAGGUGAGAUCAUUCCUGUGUCAAAUUAAGAAAAUACUGCCCUCACUCUUCACUGACUUUUGCUUGCCAAAGUGCUUCUCCUUUGGUUAUAGGUACAUUUUAUGUUGUUUUAGCAGGAAAGGCAAAGAAAAUAAAAGAAUAGUGUGUGUGUGUGUGCACAUGUGUGUUAGUGUGCAUUUACCACAUAAUAAAAACAUAGUAACACAGAUCGAAUUAGUAGCAACCAUUUUAUUAUUCCUUAGCCUGUCUUAUCAUAAUUAUCUAAUUACUUUACAUCCAUUCCCUCAGUAGUGUAAAACAACAGCCCAGUGUUUGAUGGCUUUUGUCUUCUAACCAACAAUGACCACAUGUAACACUAAGUCAAACUAUGGCUGAGUGGGAGUGGACAAGUGAGCAGGUGAACACAGUGGAAAUCACAGGCGCUUCACUCCUGUGUCCUGGCACUAAGCCUUGAUUUCGCUUAACAUUAAAUCCAAAUCUAGGCCUGUGAGCCAAGAGCAAACUCUUGGUCAUGGUUUGUCAGCAGCAAGCCAAACCAUGAGCCUAGAGUCUGACACAAUGCUGAGCCAAACCAUGGUAGCAUGGAAGCCAGAAGGGCUGGAGAAGUGAAGUGGCCGUGAUUACUGCUAAGGUUGUUUGCACAUUCAUGCUUAGCCAUGGCUUUGCUAUGCGCUAUAUGUUAACCAUGCCUUUGUCUGAGAAGUCAGCACUAUUUCCCCACAUAUUAGCUAUAAUACCUCUUCAUUUAAUUCUGGGACUGUUGUGGAAUGCACAAAUUUAUUGUGAAAGGUUUUCAGUUCAGAGUCCAGUUAUACCACAACUUUUAUUACAGUGUAUUUUUGUUACAGAUGCAGGUAAGUUAACCUGCAGUAGAAACUAUUAAGACAGUGAUCUGAGGCUGGGGCUAAGGAUAACCGAGAGAAACUUGCUCUUUCCACUGUUUCCAGCUAUUCUACAGCACCAAAAAAGAACAAAAGAACACUUGGCCAUUGUUUCUCUUUCUCCAAAUCCCUACCCAAUCAAAUGUUAAUCUACCAGUGUACAUCCUUAAUUGAUCCCUUACCAUUAAACACAGAUAGUUUUGGAAAUGGAUGAGUCAAUGAGUCCUUUUGCCCUUUUUUAUCCACUCCAUCGUGCUUUUUCCUUGGGAUUUUAUUGGACAAAUUAGUCUAUCGCACAGAACAGACAAAUAGCUCUGAAGCAUUGUUCACCAGCACCAACAGUUUACUCAGAUAAGCAAAGAGCGGCAUUCAUUACCCCAUAUAAAAGAUUUUAGAACAGAAUAGCCUCAAUCCAAGAAGGACUAAUAAGAUGUAUAGCUACAAUCAGCUAGCGCGCUCUCUCUCUCUCUCUCUCUCUCUCUCUCUCUGAGAGCCACAAAAUCUCUCUUCAUAGAUG
rnacentral:lncRNA from 1 species